rnacentral:rRNA from 1 species
AACGAACGCUGGCGGCAUGCCUAACACAUGCAAGUCGAACGAAGUCUUCGGACUUAGUGGCGCACGGGUGCGUAACGCGUGGGAAUCUGCCCUUGGGUGCGGAAUAACUUCUCGAAAGGGAUGCUAAUACCGCAUAAUGUCGUAAGACCAAAGAUUUAUCGCCCAAGGAUGAGCCCGCGUAAGAUUAGCUAGUUGGUGGGGUAAGAGCCUACCAAGGCGACGAUCUUUAGCUGGUCUGAGAGGAUGAUCAGCCACACUGGGACUGAGACACGGCCCAGACUCCUACGGGAGGCAGCAGUGGGGAAUAUUGGACAAUGGGCGAAAGCCUGAUCCAGCAAUGCCGCGUGAGUGAUGAAGGCCCUAGGGUUGUAAAGCUCUUUCACCCACGACGAUGAUGACGGUAGUGGGAGAAGAAGCCCCGGCUAACUUCGUGCCAGCAGCCGCGGUAAU